GUAGACUAGAAAAAUGGUCAGAAUUAUGGCAACUGACAUUUAAUGUGGAUAAGUGCAAGAUAAUGCAUCUUGGACGUAAAAACCCAAGGGCAGAGUACAGAAUAUUUGAUAGAGUCCUAACCUCAACAUAUGAGGACAGGGAUUUAGGGGUGAUUAUUUCUGAUGACUUAAAGGUAGGCAGACAAUGUAAUAGAGCAGCAGGAAAUGCUAGCAGAAUGCUUGGUUGUAUAGGGAG